ACCAGACUCCUACGGGAGGCAGCGGUAGGGAAUUUUGCGCAAUGGGAGAAACCCUGACGCAGCAACGCCGCGUGAUUGAUGAAGCCCUUCGGGGUGUAAAGAUCUGUCAGUGGGGACGAAACUUGACGGUACCCACAGAGGAAGCAUCGGCUAACUCCGUGCCAGCAGCCGCGGUAAUACGGGGGAUGCAAGCGUUAUCCGGAUUUAUUGGGUUUAAAGGGUGCGUAGGCGGAAUGCCAAGUCAGCGGUAAAAUCGCGGGGCUCAACCUCGCUCCGCCGUUGAAACUGGCGUUCUUGAGUGGGCGAGAAGUAUGCGGAAUGCGUGGUGUAGCGGUGAAAUGCAUAGAUAUCACGCAGAACUCCGAUUGCGAGGGCAGCGUACCGGCGCCCAACUGACGCUGAAGCACGAAAGCGUGGGUAUCGAACAGGAUUAGAUACCCCCGUA
rnacentral:rRNA from 1 species